UUUUAAAUAAGUAAGAGUGAGUUGUGGAUCUUUAGGUCUGGAAGUCGAUGAAGGACGUGAUUACCUGCGAUAAAGUCCUCGUGGAGCUGGAUAUAAGCUACGAAACGGGGAUUUCCGAAUGGGGAAACCUAGUUAGAGUAAUUUCUAACUGCAUUGGAAUGAAUAUAUAGUUCUAAUUAGCGAGACACGUUGUGAACUGAAACAUCUUAGUAGCAACAGGAAAAGAAAAUAAAUAAUGAUUCCAUCAGUAGCAUGAGCGAAAUUGAAAAGCUCAAACCAACUUAGUUGGGGUUGUAGGACUAUCUACAUAAAGUUACAAAUUUUUAUUAUAGCAGAAUAAGUUGGAAAACUUAAGCACAGAAGGUGAAACUCCUGUAUGUGAAAUAAUAAGAACUUUUGAUAGUAUCCUGAGUAGGGCAAGACGUGAAACCCUGUCUGAAUCUCAAGGACCAUCCGGUAAGGUUUAAAUACUAACCAGACACCGAUAGUGAACUAGUACCGUGAGGGAAAGGUGAAAAGAACCCCGGGAGGGAGUGAAAUAGAAUCUGAAACAACUUACUUACAAUUAGUCAGAGUAGUUAAUGGGCAUUGAUGGCGUAUAUCUUGCAGUAUGGAUUUACGAGUUAUGUUAACACGCAAGGUUAAGCAGAGAAAAGCGGAGCCCGCAGAGAAAUCGAGUCUUAAUAGGGCGUUUAGUAUGUUGACAUAUACCCGAAACCACGCGAUUCAUUCACGAGCAGGUUGAAGUUUGGGUAACACCAAAUGGAGGAUCGAACCGUAUGCUGAAAAGCGCCCGGAUGACUUGUGAAUAGUGGAGAAAUUCCAAUCGAACUUGGAGAUAGCUGGUUCUCCUCGAAAUAGCUUUAGAGUACUAGCGUGUGAUGUUAAACUUUGGUGGUAGAGCACUGAAUAUGGAAUACUGCGCCAAUGGUAUUGACUAUAAUCAAACUCCGAAUACCAUCGUGUAUUGUCACGCAGUCGGAACCGGGGUGCUAACGUCCUUAUCAUGAGGCGAACAACCCAGAUCGUCGACUAAGGUCCCAAAAUCGUGUUAAGUCAGAAAGGUUGUGAGAUUUCAUAAACAACUAGGAGGUUAUUUUAGAAGCGCCCACCCUUUAAAGAGUGCGUAAUAGCUCACUAGUCAAGAGAUCUUUCAUGCCAAUAAUUUAACGGGAGUAAAACACGAUACCGAAGUCACGGGUAUGAAAGCAUGUUAGAGGAGCGUUCUUAAUGCAUUGAAGCUAGACUGUGAAGACUGGUGGAGCGUUAAGAAGUGAGAACGCCGGUAUGAGUAACGAUUUGUGGUGAGAAUCCACAACGCCUAUUGGGAAAGGUUUCCUGGGGAAGGUUCGUCCACCCAGGGUUAGUCGAGACCUAAGGGGAUAUUUUGAAAAGCGUAUUCGAUGGAUAACAGGUUAAUAUUCCUAUACCACUUAUAUAUGUCGUGGAGUGACGGAGAAGGAUAACAUAUUUCAUUAAUGGAUUUGGGUGUAAAUAACAACUGGAAAACAUAGUUAAAUGCGUGUUUUAUAACCGGGAGUUAUGAUGCAAAGGUUUAACAGCUGAAUUAUGUGAAUUCAUACUUCCAAGAAAAGCUUCUAAACAUUUAAAAUAUAUAUGCGCUCAGAUGAGAACGGACACACGUUCCCAAGAUGAGUAUUCUAAUGAGCGAGAAAACCAAUGUUAAGGAACUCUGCAAAUUAACCCCGUAAGUUCAUGAGAAGGGGCGCCAACUUUUUUGAGUUUACCACAGUAAAUUGUGAGGGCAACUGUUUAUCAAAAACACAGCUCUCUGCUAAACCGCAAGGUGAUGUAUAGGGGGUGAAGCUCGCCCAGCGCCUGAAGGUUAAGUGGAUGCGUUAGCUUAUGCGAAGCGUUGAAAUGAAGCUCGGUGAACAGCGUACCGUAACUAUAACUGGUCCUAAGGUAGCGAAAUUCCUUGUCACUAAAUACUGACCUGCACGAAAGGCGCAAUGAUCUCUCAACUGUCUCAACAUUGGACUCGGUGAAAUUAUAUCCCAGUGAAAACGCUGGGUUCCCGCAUCAAGACGAGAAGACCCUACGGAGCUUUACUACAACUUCGUAUUGGAACUUUACCAAUACGUGUAGGAUAGGUGGGAGACUAUGAUACUAAGACGCUAGUUUUAGAGGAGUCAACCUUGAAAUACCACCCUUGGUAUGUUGAGUUUCUAACUGCCACCGUUAUCCGGUGGGGAGACAGUGCGUGGUGGGUAGUUUGACUGGGGCGGUCGCCUCCUAAAAGGUAACGGAGGCGUUCAAAGAUGACACCUCAAUACGGUCAGAAACCGUAUGUAGAGCGCAAAGGUAGAAGUGUGCUUAACUGCGAGACCUACAAGUCGAGCAGGUGCGAAAGCAGGACUUAGUGAUCAAGGCAUACAUGUCGCGGAACAGCAGUCGCUCAACGGAUAAAAGUUACCCUGGGGAUAACAUACUUAUCUCGCCCAAGAGAUCACAUCGACAGCAAGGUUUGGCGCCUCGAUGUCACUCAUCGCAUCCUGGAGCUGGAGUCGGUUCCAAGGGUUUUACUGUUCGCCAAUUAAAGCAGACAUGAGCUGGGUUCAGAACGUCGUGAGACAGUUCGUCCCUAUCUGAUGUGGCGUUGGAAUAUUGAUGAGAGCUGCUCUUAGCAUGAGAGGACCGGAGUGGACAUGCCGCUGGUGUUCCAGUUGUUCUGCCAAGAGCAUAGCUGGGUAGCUAAAUAUGGAAGGGAUAACCGCUGAAAGCAUCUAAGUGGGAAGCCUCCUCAGAGAUAAGUAUUCCCUUGAAAUUCCUUGUAGACUACGAGGUUGAUAGGAUGGAAGUGUAAGUGUAGUAAUACAUUCAGCUGACCAUUACUAAUAAAUUGAUAGGUUUAAAAGU
rnacentral:rRNA from 1 species